rnacentral:rRNA from 1 species
GACGAACGCUGGCGGCGUGCUUAACACAUGCAAGUCGAACGGAAAGGCCCUGCUUUUGUGGGGUGCUCGAGUGGCGAACGGGUGAGUAACACGUGAGUAACCUGCCCUUGACUUUGGGAUAACUUCAGGAAACUGGGGCUAAUACCGGAUAGGAGCUCCUGCUGCAUGGUGGGGGUUGGAAAUUUUCGGCGGUUGGGGAUGGACUCGCGGCUUAUCAGCUUGUUGGUGGGGUAGUGGCUUACCAAGGCUUUGACGGGUAGCCGGCCUGAGAGGGUGACCGGCCACAUUGGGACUGAGAUACGGCCCAGACUCCUACGGGAGGCAGCAGUGGGGAAUAUUGCACAAUGGGCGGAAGCCUGAUGCAGCAACGCCGCGUGCGGGAGGACGGCCUUCGGGUUGUAAACCGCUUUCGCCUGUGACGAAGCGUGAGUGACGGUAAUGGGGAAAGAAGCACCGGCUAACUACGU